CCGGAUCAGAAUCAUCGUUCCAAAGUGAAGAUCUUGUUCCUUGUAGCUGUGCGUGCAGACCAGAAUGAGACUCCUGUCCUUAACUCACAUUUAAAAAGAAUAUAUCUCAACAAAUGUCAUCAUGAUGUACGUGUACAUUGAACCGACAGGUGAUCUUCCAGUCACAAGUUCGACUCCCAAUCGGGUCAAGUGUUCCUCACCCUUUCCUGUAUCAUGGAGACAGGAGCCGAGCCAAGAGCACAAAUACGAUACAUGAUGGCUGUACCCCAUACUGUCAUCUUAUAUCUGUUCCCGACUCUGGCCUUUGCAGUGAAGACGUGUCUCUUACCUUCUCCUUCGCAACCUUAUGGGAAAACGGACACGUCCCAUCCGCCUGCUUGCACGUCCCUCGCAGAAACCUGCAAACAAAAAAACAAGACCAAGCCUGAAAUAUCACAAGACAGAGAUGUGAAGAGCAAAGAACCAAGUUCAAGAAUCUUCCUGCUGACACCAGGGUCUUCUUAGGUAAAGACGCUACUCUCCUUGGCCUGUUCCCCGUGAUGCCCUUGACCUCCAGAAGGAUAUCUGUUAUCAGAGAGUCUCCAGGCCCGUCUGAUGCACAAAUCCUCCCCUGCUGGACAGCUAAGUUGUUUCAGGGGCGAGACCUUUCAAAUGCCAUCCACUGGGAAUCUGUAGGACUGCCUCCCCUUCGUCUACAAGGCCUGAGGGACACUUCAUCCCACUCCUUAUUCAAACCAUCAAACUGUUUAAAGCUCCACUAAUCAAUAGGUUCUGUUAAUGAUUAGUGACAAACCCACAUGAAAUUAUCACCAACAUUUACCAACAUGUCCACAACGGGUUCAGUCCUUACAUCAAGUUAAGUGGAAAUAAGUUCAGUAGUUUUAUCAUAAUCUUGCUGACAAACAAACAAACAAAAAGUAUUUUAGUGUAUGAAAUAAGAGAUUGUACCUGAAUCCCAAAGGUUCAGCUUUAAAUGUCUACAUUUAAAUGAUGCGUCAGUCAAAAUCCAAUUUAUAUUGAAAUUACAGUGACUUUAAAACUGACUCACAUCUGAUGAUCUUUACAUGAUGAAUAAUAUGUGUUAACUAAUCAAUUAAUCAACUAAUUGUUUCAGCCCCCAAAAUACAGUUCAUGUACUGGAGGUUGUACGAAUAGAAAAACAAGGGCUGGAGGUCACAGGAAAAGAACAAGAACAAAAAGUCAACAAAAAAAACUUGGAGGGUAAAAAAAUGUAAAAACAGAGGACAAGGGCACAAAGAAACUCCCCUGAGAUUAGUCUGCAUGCAUGUGUGUGUGUGUGUGUGUGUGUGUGUGUGUGUGUGUGUGUGGACUGCUCUGACCAUGCGAUGCACGGAUAAAGGAGAGGGCGAUUCAGCACUACGGGCGCCGUUGAUGAAUGAUCCGACUUUUGUUUUAGUGACAGGGAAGAAUUUGGAGGGUCGCGCGACUGCUCAGAAUAAUGCUGCCCUCGUCCAUUUGUCUGCAACCCAAGCAUUAGUGGGCUCAUAUUGGGAAACAGUUACCCUUGAAACAGAGCACAGCAAAAACAGUCAUCUGGCUAAUUCCAGCACUGCUGCUCUUCUUCGGGCACUUAAAGG